GAGGCAGUGUUUGGGCAAAUAUUGGACUUGGCCACACUUGCUGUUCGUAUCAGGAACCCAAUUGGUGUUAUUGAUUGACAGAUUCGGGGACCAACUGUUUAGAAAGCUGAGCCCCCUCGGAUUGGGCUAGGUGUUUCAACAAACAGCCCUAAUGCUGGGCAAACAGGGCUGUUGGAAGAAGUGCCCAGCGUGUUAGCAGAGCAAACCAAGCACUGAGCAAACAGCUUAAAAGAAUGUGGCCACCUCCACGUAACCUCAACCGAGGUAUUGAUCCCACCGGAGGAAAGAGAGGGGCCGAGUGGGGAACAGAGAGAUACAAACCCCGGCAGAAUGUAAAUGUUAUCUUUAAGCUGCGGCUGUCACGGCCCUAAUGGGCAUCUGUUUGGAAUUUGUCUUCUUGCAAAUCUUUAAAUCCAGGUCAGGGCCAGGCACAGAAUUUAAUAACAACUUUUCAGAGAGAUCGGGGCUUGGGACUGAUUUCAUUCCCCAUAAGCCCAACUGGGACUCUUCUGUUCUUCUUAAAGGCAGCUGCCUUGCAUGGAAACUUGCUGGGUGCAAGUCCCAAGCUAGAAAGAGAUAAAUCUUCUGAACACUGGUCAUAAGGCUACAGGAGAGAAGAAGGAAAUUCAGAAAUAAAGGUGCUUUCUCUGACCCCUGAGCUGUCCAUACAAGAGAGCUGGUGGAGUGGAAAGAAUCCUGGACUCAGAAUCAAGAAAUCUGGGUCCUGCUGCAGCUGCUGGCUCUGACUGGCUGCCCCUUCUGUCUUCACCUCCCUGACCUUCAACCUCUGUAUCUAUGAACUGAGGGAUGCAGUCCCUGCUGGGCAUAUUCAGGGUCAGGCCAGACAAGCCCAUUCCAAGGUGGGAGCACACUCUGCAGACAGAAAACACUGUCCCAGUUUAAGGAAUCGGGAUAUUUGCUGAGAGACCCUGGGAGAUGCCCCUCCUGAGCCUGAGACCUUCUGACAUCACCAAGUCGCAAUGGAAUGGACCAUGGCUGUGGUUAUCUAUUUUUCUAGCAUCGGUAAUGAGCCCUGUGGUCGCAAGAGCCCAGAAGCACCCCUUUCUGAGGUAGGCAGCAUGGCCCAGUGGCCAGAACCCGGGACCUGGCCCAGCCCUGCCAUGGACGUGUAUGAUUCAGAAUGGCCCUUCUCUCACCGAGCGGUUUCUCUCUAUAAAAUAAAGGGCUUGAACUGGAAGUAUCCCAAGGGAAUGCCCACUCAGCAGCUUUAGGGGCUGAGAAUCUGGAUGGACUUUCAGUGUUUACUGUGUGCCUCAGUUUCCUCAUCUGUAAAGUGGGGAUAAUAAUAGUGCCUAUCUCAUAGGGUAAUUGUGAGCAUUCAUUGAGUUUGUAGAUGUAAAGUGCUUAAGGCAUUGUGCAGGUACAUAUGAAGUGUUAUACAAACGCUUUUCAUUUUCUGUUUAUAUUCCCAGAACCAGGAAUAUGGGCUAGGGGACAGCAGGGAGCUGACAGCCAUGAAUGGAAUGAGUGAGGGCUCCUGCUUCCCCCAAUUAUGAACCCUCCUUGAUCCUGGGUUUCCUGGGGUCCCUUCUCUCCUGCCCCCUUCUAGGAGGGUGAGAAACAACACUACAGACAGUGAAAAGAGACAGGUAAUCAGAUUCCAGCCCCGACCCUGUCCUCGGGUGCCGGCAGGACUGUGCCUCUGCUUCCUUAGCUCCCCAUGUGGGUCAUUCUCACUGCCCUGCCUACAGCGACAGCUGUCCUAGGGGACAGACAGGAUCAUUGAGUGGCUCUCAAACAUGCAAAGUGGGUCGGGAUAACCUGGAGAGUGUAUAGGAAAAUGCUGACCCCAGGCCCUUCCCCCAGAGGCUUGAUGUCACAGAUCCCUCCCUAGAUCUGUGUGCUUGGGAUACCCUCUUGAGAACCCUUGAACCUCUGGCAGUUCUGCCAGGAACUCCACACUGCUGCCUUUGUGGUGUGACUGUGCCUAUGCUGCAGGUGAGGAAAGAGCAGUUUCAAGAAGAAAAUUAGGCUGGGUGCAGUGGCUCAUGCCUGUAAUCCC
rnacentral:lncRNA from 1 species